UGAAUUAUGUGUGCAUCCGCAGGCGCGUCCUGUCACUUAACAGGAACUGUCAUGGACAUGUGUUUUCAAGGUUUUUUUUUUUUUUUGCCACUUCUCCAGUUUUUUUUUGAUCUGUUUAAUUAUGUGUCUCUUUAAUUAGCCUUUCCUCUUCCCAGUGUCAGCCCCCUUUCUGUUUCUAGUGUUUUUCCUUUCAUUACUCUUGCCUGUGUCUCCCCGCCUCACUCCACCUGCACCAUUGGCCAAUAUAAGUUGGAAAGUUUGAUCAGCGGUCUGUAUAGAGCCUGAUCAGAUAGGCCGAUCAGAUAAAUACACAAGUUGGUUUGCCUGUGCACCACUAUAAUGCCACUGUGACACACACACACACACACCACAGGACAGCUCACUAUCUUCCCUCCUGUCGAAAUCAAUACAGAUUUCCAACUUAUUUUUUUGGUUAAACCAGGGCAACCAGCCAGAUAUUUGUGACCGAGGGGACAGAUGCACUGGUCCCGCGGAACAAUUCUGGUAACAUAGUUUUCACACUGUGAGGCCUGCUAGUGAUGGUAACUAGCACUGACAAAGUGCCAUGGAGAGAGAGGUAACUAUGGUAAGAGCAUGACAAGAUGCACUCCACUGUGCUCAUGUGGUCAGAAGUAGUCAGUUCAGAUUAUAAUUUCUGUUAUCUUUGAACAUAAGAUACAAUUUAUUUGACUUAUUCAUCAUUUUAUUUCCUUGACAUUUUAAUGAUGAUUUUACUAUUUCACUUAUAACUAACAACUACAGAAGACAACAAAGUGAAGAAAACGUCGUUCCGGUUGGUGAUCAAUAUUGGCAGAUUCUGCAUUCAAUCAUCGGUGAUUGGCCCCAGAAAUCCUGAUCGGGGCACCCUCGCUGAAAAUAAAAAUUGGGAACUCAGGGCUUUCAGAGGCAUGGAUUAUGCCAGAUGAACUGUAUUGAGCACUUUAAGGUUUUUUUGUUAUUAUUAUUUAUUUGUUUUUAUUUUUAGGUUUUUGAAGUCUCCAGCUACCUGAGUUGUUUAGGGCAAUGCUGCAACACUGUUUUGCUGUGUCUCCAGAAAUGUUUUGUGGACAUCCACAACCUAUCCUCAAAGGUUCUGUAAGGCAUGGUGCUGUGAAAAUGCAUACCCAAAGUGUUCUGCUUCCAGACAGUAGGGAAGGAGCUACCGUUGCAGCCAAAAUCUUCCCUGUCCAGCAGCAUCGGUCUAACCUCUGUCGGCAUCAAUCAGCUUCCCUGCCUGCCUGACAGCUUUCAGUUGUGGAGAGCUCUGCUCUGCCAGGCAGCCAUCAAAUAUAGACAGCUUAGAGAGAGACGGGACAUGAGUGGAGAGUAAGGGAAGACAUUCAGCAAAAGGCUUGAAUCCAUCCUUCACAAAUAGGCAGCCCUAUUAUCAACCAAAUGUGAAGAAACAACAAUGGGACAUUAUGUCAAAGACAGCUAUGUUCUGUGUUGCAGAGAUGUCUGCUGAAGUCAGCAUGCUAACCAGCUAGCCCUGGCCUGUCAUUUCUCUUAAUGCUACAUGAAUUGCCCAGUUAACUCAUAAUAAAGAACACUUAAAGUAAACUUAACAUAAACAAAAUAAAACUCACCAAAAUAGUCUUGGUUUGUCUUCCAACAAUCAUCUCUGGUUUGGUUCAAAUAAAUCCUCAAUUCACGGAGCAAGAUGUGAAAAUAUUCUUGCUCUACACGUCGGUUUUCACCCUCUGCUGAUGUUUGACUCUGUCUCUCUCAUCUGCCCCUUCAUGCCUCCUCUGUCUCCUGCCGUGCUUUCUCAUUCGAGGUCAUAGUCCUGGUCAGGGCCAUGGUAAAUCACCUCUGUACUGUAUCACCUGUUCUUCAAACUGGCAUCAAAGCUCCCACAUAUUGCCCCUAUGAUCCGAGGCUAAGAGGGUCACUUUGCUCCAAGGCUAACUGAGCUUUGAAUUCUGUCCAUUUCUUACAAAUGACACUUCUGAUGACAAAGCUGGGAGAUGAACAGGCCCACUCACCUUUAUUCACUUAGAUAGAACAGACCAAGAUCAAGUGCUUU